GGAUAACCUACCUAUAAGACUGGGAUAACUUCGGGAAACCGGAGCUAAUACCGGAUAAUAUUUUGAACCGCAUGGUUCAAAAGUGAAAGACGGUCUUGCUGUCACUUAUAGAUGGAUCCGCGCUGCAUUAGCUAGUUGGUAAGGUAACGGCUUACCAAGGCAACGAUGCAUAGCCGACCUGAGAGGGUGACCGGCCACAUUGGGACUGAGAUACGGCCCAG
rnacentral:rRNA from 1 species